GGAAGCGGCUAGGUUCACGUUAUCGAGGUGCAAACCAGUUUGAACUCGUCACGCGUCUCACACCCGAUUCAAAGUUCCUAUAAUAUUUAAGAUAAAUUAAAGAACAGUACAAAAACAAAACAAAACUUAAAUACUACGAAAAAUAAAUUCAAAGCCCUAUAUAUAUCAACCAUAAAUAUCGUAAAUGAAUAUCAAGUAUAUCGCUCAAUCAAUGGCAAACAAAUCGUGAAAUCGUACGGAAUCGGAUUUCGAAUCGGAGUCGUUAAUAAGAAGCAAAUCAAAUGAGACUAAUAGCCAAGCGAAAUAGAUCUAUUUGCACUAAGAUUUAUUAGAUAUUGGUGCAUACAAUGUUGUGAUGGGGUGAAUCAUCAUCGCCUAAUUUCAUUGGACUCCAAUAAUGCUAACGACGGCUCUCCAAUGUCCAGCUCUGAUGUUGAAACUUUUAAUGGCAAAAUAGUUUACAAUCUUGACGGCAGCGCCUUAAUAAUCGAUGCAGGCAAUGCGACUGUGUCGUCCAGUAAUCAUUUAAGAUCAAGCUCUGCCACAACGACAC